UCCAUGUUUCUCUGGGGCUUCAGAGGAUCUAAGGAAGGUGUUUGUGAGUAGUGUAUACCAAUCAGAUAAUGCUGCCCAGAUCCAUGCUGGUAUCACGGUCAGCAACACCUGCUCUCCUCGCUGGGUCAGCCAAAUGGCAAAGAAAUGAAGAUGGCUGGUUUCCCUGGGUCUUUCCAGGUGAAGAACCUACAGUUGAGCCUCUCCUCAGCAUCUUCACUAAACCUACACCCUCAGUAGGAACGUUCAUUUCUUAAGCAGUGUGCGUUUGAUAGCAUACACUCUCCAGCUAGGGUUCUGUGAUGGGGAAGAGGAGUAGGAAACGUUCUCUCUGCAGCCAUCUGGGAUGUGUCCUCCCAGGCUUUUGAAGCCUCACUUCAAUUCUUCCUACCAAGACCUGAGGAUGUAACUCAGUGCUGGGGUGCUUACCCAGCACGGACACGUCCUGGGUUCAGUGCCUGGCACCUCAAGUGUAUAUGAAAUAUGUUAACUUGCCACUCGCUCCCUUGUCUUCCCUGUGAGACUCCUGGUGGGGGCUCCAUAUCCUUCUCUCUGGGGAAUCUCCAGCGUGGUGGGACAUAGAGGCCACUGAACAGUUCUCGGCAUCCUCAGGUUCUUUCUCCACUAGAGUCCCGAUGGGGUAGGGGAAUGGGAUGUUGCAGAGGCUAAAGCUCUGCUGUCUGUUGAGGAGUGCUCCAUAUCACGGCAAAUUUUGUUUUAUGUUGUUGUUUUUUCCGAGACAGGGUUUCUCUGUGUAGCCCUGGCUGUCCUGGAACUCACUUUGUAGACCAGGCUGGCCUUGAACUCAGAAAUCCACCUGCCUCUGCUUCCCAAGUGCUAGGAUUAAAGGUGUGUGCCACCACUGCUAUGGUAAACUUAUAACACAAAUGUCAUCCUGUCUUCCCACUGUGCUGCAGCCUGUGGACAGCAAUGCACCUGCCUCUCUUGUUCCCUCUUGGUACAACCAACCUAACCGGGGACUGUUCAAUAAAUCUUUACCAACAUCAAAUAACCCUUCCAUGUUGGCAUUACAAUCCCCAGAUUACAGAGGUCUGUGCUCACAAAACCAGGUUAGCGCUACACUCCUCAGAUGAAGCGGAGUCCUACGUUGUAGCCAAGGAUUGUAGCCAAGUGCAGAGCGCCCCAGGGCCUCCUCAUUCCUGCCCUCUCCCAGCGUUCACACACUUCACCCCACUCUGCUAAGAGCCGCCACUCUCAGUGUUGUUUUAGAAUCAUUUUCCAAAGUUUGUGUUCCAGAUGUUUGCAAACAGGCUCUAGUCAGACAUUAGACAUUUACCCAGGACUAAUUAUUUUAUACAUCUUGUGAUCCUGUUUUGAGAUCCUGUUUAUGAACCGAACCUUCCUGGGAGACAUGAAAUGAGGUGAAACAUGUAUCAAGUGGCCAUUGUGUGGAGAUCCUGGGCACAGGGGUGAAUCACAGCAGCUCCCACCCUGGAGAUCUCUGGGUCUAAUUGGUCUGACUGCCCCUUUUCUUUACAAAAUAUUUGGACAGUGAAAUGGGUUGACUGCAGAAAAUUUGGAAAGUUCGUGUAAGAUGGAAAAGGUGAGCUGGAACCUGAUGCAUGUCUUUAAUCCAACCCUCAGGAGACAGAGGACAGGCGGGUCUCUCUAAGUUCAAGGCCAGCCUGAUCUGUGGAGCAAGUUCCUGGACAGCCAGGGCUACACAAGGAAACCCUGCCUCAGAGGAAACAAAACAAAACCCAAAAAAAAAACAAAAAGGAGGGGGGAGGAGGAAGAAGCAGAGAAGGAAAAUAUUAUAUACUAUUUUACACACCAGCCAGUGAUUCUUGAGUGGGAAGGAAAGCCUCCUGUAAGUCCAGCACUGAGUAACCACCAUCAAUAUCUGGAAAUAUUCUUAGCCUCUUUUCUGUGCUGAAUAACUGACCUAGACCAGGUUGCCUAAGUCAGGCCGAUCGGCGUACUACCUCUUUUGCUCGCCCCCUGCUGGUACCAUGGUGCUACUGCAGUAGUUAAUUGAUCACCUUCAACACCCUGAAGUUUCAUAUCCUUCACUUACCAUAUCCUUCCAUGAAUCUCACACACCCACACAAGCCUCAGGGACAGGAAGCUAGCAGGUAAGAUAUCAGUUUCCUCAAACAGACUCAAUCAGCUACCAGAGGUCCUUCAUCCAGGCUGCCUGGGAAUUCUACUGAGUGGAGCCAUUUU
rnacentral:lncRNA from 1 species